ACGUGACGCAGCAACGCCGCGUGGGGGAAGACGGCUUUCGGGUUGUAAACCCCUUUCAGUUGGGACGAAGCCUCGUCCGUUAAUAGCGGUGCGAGGUGACGGUACCUUCAUAAGAAGCCCCGGCUAACUACGUGCCAGCAGCCGCGGUAAUACGUAGGGGGCAAGCGUUGUCCGGAAUCAUUGGGCGUAAAGAGCGUGUAGGCGGUUUGGUAAGUCCGCUGUGAAAGUCAAGGGCUCAACCCUUGAAAGCCGGUGGAUACUGUCGAACUAGAGUCCGGAAGAGGCGAGUGGAAUUCCUGGUGUAGCGGUGAAAUGCGCAGAUAUCAGGAGGAACACCGAUGGCUAAGGCAGCUCGCUGGGACGGUACUGACGGUGAGACGCGAAAGCGUGGGGAGCAAACAGGAUUAGAUACCCUGGUAGUCCACGCCGUAAACGAUGGGCACUAGGUGUGGGAGGUGUCGACUCCUCCCGUGCCGCAGCUAACGCAUUAAGUGCCCCGCCUGGGGAGUACGGCCGCAAGGCUA
rnacentral:rRNA from 1 species